AGAGUUUGAUCCUGGCUCAGGAUGAACGCUAGCUACAGGCUCAACACAUGCAAGUCGAGGGGCAGCAUGGUCUUAGCUUGCUAAGGCCGAUGGCGACCGGCGCACGGGUGAGUAACACGUAUCCAACCUGCCGUCUACUCUUGGACAGCCUUCUGAAAGGAAGAUUAAUACAAGAUGGCAUCAUGAGUCCGCAUGUUCACAUGAUUAAAGGUAUUCCGGUAGACGAUGGGGAUGCGUUCCAUUAGAUAGUAGGCGGGGUAACGGCCCACCUAGUCUUCGAUGGAUAGGGGUUCUGAGAGGAAGGUCCCCCACAUUGGAACUGAGACACGGUCCAAACUCCUACGGGAGGCAGCAGUGAGGAAUAUUGGUCAAUGGGCGAGAGCCUGAACCAGCCAAGUAGCGUGAAGGAUGACUGCCCUAUGGGUUGUAAACUUCUUUUAUAAAGGAAUAAAGUCGGGUAUGCAUACCCGUUUGCAUGUACUUUAUGAAUAAGGACCGGCUAACUCCGUGCCAGCAGCCGCGGUAAUACGGAGGAUCCGAGCGUUAUCCGGAUUUAUUGGGUUUAAAGGGAGCGUAGAUGGAUGUUUAAGUCAGUUGUGAAAGUUUGCGGCUCAACCGUAAAAUUGCAGUUGAUACUGGAUAUCUUGAGUGCAGUUGAGGCAGGCGGAAUUCGUGGUGUAGCGGUGAAAUGCUUAGAUAUCACGAAGAACUCCGAUUGCGAAGGCAGCCUGCUAAGCUGCAACUGACAUUGAGGCUCGAAAGUGUGGGUAUCAAACAGGAUUAGAUACCCUGGUAGUCCACACGGUAAACGAUGAAUACUCGCUGUUUGCGAUAUACAGCAAGCGGCCAAGCGAAAGCGUUAAGUAUUCCACCUGGGGAGUACGCCGGCAACGGUGAAACUCAAAGGAAUUGACGGGGGCCCGCACAAGCGGAGGAACAUGUGGUUUAAUUCGAUGAUACGCGAGGAACCUUACCCGGGCUUAAGUUGCAGAUGAAUUACGGUGAAAGCCGUAAGCCGCAAGGCAUCUGUGAAGGUGCUGCAUGGUUGUCGUCAGCUCGUGCCGUGAGGUGUCGGCUUAAGUGCCAUAACGAGCGCAACCCUUGUUGUCAGUUACUAACAGGUUCUGCUGAGGACUCUGACAAGACUGCCAUCGUAAGAUGUGAGGAAGGUGGGGAUGACGUCAAAUCAGCACGGCCCUUACGUCCGGGGCUACACACGUGUUACAAUGGGGGGUACAGAGGGCCGCUACCACGCGAGUGGAUGCCAAUCCCCAAAACCUCUCUCAGUUCGGACUGGAGUCUGCAACCCGACUCCACGAAGCUGGAUUCGCUAGUAAUCGCGCAUCAGCCACGGCGCGGUGAAUACGUUCCCGGGCCUUGUACACACCGCCCGUCAAGCCAUGGGAGCCGGGGGUACCUGAAGUGCGUAACCGCGAGGAGCGCCCUAGGGUAAAACUGGUGACUGGGGCUAAGUCGUAACAAGGUA
rnacentral:rRNA from 1 species